rnacentral:rRNA from 1 species
GAAUAUUGGACAAUGGGGGGAACCCUGAUCCAGCCAUGCCGCGUGUGUGAAGAAGGCCUUUUGGUUGUAAAGUACUUUAAGCGAGGAGGAGGCUACUCUAGUUAAUAACUAGAGAUAGUGGACGUUACUCCCAGAAUUAGCCACGGCUAACCCUCUGCCCGCCGCCGCGGUAAUACAGAGGGUGCAAGCGUUAAUCGGAUUUACUGGGCGUAAAGCGCGCGUAGGUGGCCAAUUAAGUCAAAUGUGAAAUCCCCGAGCUUAACUUGGGAAUUGCAUUCGAUACUGGUUGGCUAGAGUAUGGGAGAGGAUGGUAGAAUUCCAGGUGUAGCGGUGAAAUGCGUAGAGAUCUGGAGGAAUACCGAUGGCGAAGGCAGCCAUCUGGCCUAAUACUAACACUGAGGUGCGAAAGCAUGGGGAGCAAAC